CUGCGGCAGAGAGAUAACGGACAAACACUCGGCGAGAGCUCCGCGGCGAAGGGAAGGGUUGACUGUCCGGGUAAAGGCUUCUCUGUCCUAAAUAAAGUAAUGAGGUAGAAAGUCAAAAAGUUAACCAACCCAACCGGCUAUGGAACAGAUUGGCACGGCCACGGUGAAGAUGGACCAGAAGUUUGAGGAGAUAGAUUCAGAGGGCCGGUGGCAGAAACUCUACUCAGAAAUCAGGAACCAGUCCCACGAGUGUUCCUACAAAGUGGCAAAGUAUCCGGAGAAUCGCAACAGAAACAGAUACCGGGAUGUCAGUCCAUUCGACCACAGUCGGGUGAAGCUGAAGAACACAGAGAAUGACUACAUCAAUGCAAGUCUGGUAGUGAUGGAGGAAGCCCAGAGGAGUUACAUCCUGACUCAGGGCCCCCUCAGGAACACCUGUGGUCACUUUUGGCUCAUGAUCUGGGAGCAAAAGACCAAGGCGGUCAUCAUGCUCAACAGAGUCAUAGAGAAAGGCUCGGAAAAGUGUGCCCAGUACUGGCCCACAGCAGAGGAAAGGGAGAUGGCCUUUAGAGACACACGCUUCUUGGUCACACUGCUGUCAGAAGACACCAAGUCUUACUAUACCACCAGAAGGCUGGAGCUGCAGAACAUUCAAACAGGGGAGAAAAGGGAGCUCUACCACUUUCAUUACACAACGUGGCCCGAUUUUGGUGUCCCCGAGUCCCCAGCUUCCUUCCUAAACUUCCUCUUUAAGGUGCGGGAAUCUGGAGCACUGGGCACAGAUCAAGGACCAGCUGUGGUGCACUGUAGCGCUGGAAUCGGACGCUCAGGGACGUUUUCACUAGUUGACACAUGCCUGGUCCUGAUGGACAAGAGGAAAGAGCCCUCAUCAGUAGACAUCAAAAGCAUCCUGCUGAACAUGAGGAAAUACCGAAUGGGCCUGAUUCAGACUCCUGAUCAGCUGCGAUUCUCAUACAUGGCUGUCCUUGAAGGGGCAAAGUUUAUCAUGGGAGACUCAUCUGUACAGAAUCAAUGGCGGGAAUUAUCCAAGGAAGAUCAGGAGCCGCUAUCGGAGUCUCCCCCUGCACCUCAGCCACAGGCCAGGUGUCCGACGGAGCGGCACAAUGGCAGCCAGCAGGAGGACGGAGGGGACUACAGACAGGACGGCAAAGCGCCUGCACAGUCUCCCUGCAAGGAGCAGGAGCUCGAUGGCAGCACAGCACAGUCAGUACACAAACGACGCAGGGAAGACAGCAUCUCCAAAUCGAGCACAGCCAAGACACCCCAAAGCAAGUCCAGGACAAAUGACUCUGAGAGGAAGAGAAAAAGUUUGGGCUGCAUUUGCUGCACAUGACAAGAGCUCGGCUGUCCGGCGGGGGGCGGUGUAUCUUUACCCCCCUCUGAGGCAGCAACGACAACCACGGAGAGCGCGUUUAACGGACGAAGUUUACCCGCAGCUUUAAAAAAAACAAAAGAAAGAACACCCACUCUUGUACACGGAGGUCUGUGUGUUUGCGUGUGUGCAGGUGUGUGUGUGUGUGUGUGUGUGUGUGUAAGUGUGUAUUGCUGUGUCUUCUCUUGGGGUUUUGUUCUUCCUUUGAUGAUUUGCUUGGCUCUUGUGGUUUUGGAGUUGUUAAUUUUGGCUGCACUCUAGCAUGCUGCGCGAGUGUGAGUACAUUUGUGGUUGUUGGUUUUCGAAACUCUGAAAUGUCAGGUUCAGUUGGAACAAUGCAAAAUGCUAAUUUUUAUUAUGCAUCAUAUAUUUGAAUUUGCCGGCAGCGUUUUAUCUCUGCAGUAAACCCUGUCAAGAAAGUGGGCGUACGAAAGAUUAAUCAACAACCUCUGCUUUGAAAACAAAAGUCAUGCAAGGAAGGAGGCUGGGAAAGAGAAGGCAGAAGCAUAGAUUGUCCCGUGGCAGUUAUAGAAAAAUACAUCAGUGAUUGGACCUUUGAUGAAGCCCUCCAUCUCCACCCAUUGGGCGAAAACCAGCGACUACUAACCACCUCCACCUGCAGCCACAACUCUGGCAGCAAAGCCAACAUCGGCAGGGAACUCCAGCUCUCUCCCAAUCUUCCUCACCUCCAUGUCCUCAGCUAGCUCUCCUUUUCAUUGCUUGUGUGUCUUUUUUUUUUUUCCUUGCAUACCGGCCUAUUAUCAUUAGUUAGCCAGAGCCGACAUUUCUGUUUCUUCUACAAUCAGGAACACAUCACGUCCACCUCCGGCUCAGCUUUCCAAUCUCUCAUCCUCAUUGUUUACAGUGGACACUUUGACAUUCGUUUAUAGACAAGCACACCAGCGCUUUACCCCCCUGGCCACACCUCAACCUUAAACUGUCAAUGCUGCUUCCGGAGUCAAAAGAUUUGUUUUUUCUUUCUCUCUUUCUCUCUCUUUUUGGCAUUAAUAAUAUUAUUUUGCAGCUUUCUCAUUCUUUUACGCUCAUUUACAUUCAUGAAAUUCAGACUGAAAAUAGGGGCUAUGCAUUGCCAAUUUGUAAUGCUGUUUAUAUGUGUAUUUUUGGAAAAGGGUAAAAAAAACAUUUUUUCAGAGGCAAAAGUAAAAAAUAUUCUAUUUUUUAUAAUAAAUUACUUGAAGUUUUUCAGGUGAUGUUGGGCCGGCUGAAUGAAACACACUGUCUCGCUCCCAUGUGAGAAAUUCAGUGACAUGUAAUGUUUCCAUGAUGUACAUAGUGUUCUUUUUUUUUCUUUUUUCUUAAAGAGAGAUGUGUACAAAAUGACAUAUUUUUGCUUGUAAAGGAAACCCUGAAUACCAAAAAAAAGAAAAAAGGACGAAAGCUUGUGUUACACACCUGCAUACAGUAGAAAGCUGAUUUGAAGCUGACUUGUUCUCCUUUUGAAACAAAUUGUCUUAAGUUUGUUUUUAUUUUUUAGAGUGUAAUCUGAUUAAAACUGGUAUCAUCUAGUUUACAUACAAA